ensembl:lncRNA
GAGGGUGCAAGGGAGGGUGUAAGGGAGGGUGCAAGGGACGGUGUAAGGGAGGGCGCAUAGGAGGGUGCAAGGGAGGGUGCAUAGGAGGGUGCAAGGGAGGGUGCAUAGGAGGGUGUAAGGUAGGGUGCAUAGGAGGGUGCAUGGGAGGGUGUAAGGAAGGGCGCAUAGGAGGGUGCAUGGGUGGGCGCAUAGGAGGGUGCAAGGGAGGGCGCAUAGGAGGGUGCAUAGGAGGGUGUAAGGGAGGGCGCAUAGGAGGGUGCAAGGGAGGGCGCAAGGGAGGACGCAUAGGAGGGUGCAAGGGAGGGCGCAUAGGAGGGUGCAAGGGAGGG